AUUGAACGCUGGCGGCAGGCCUAACACAUGCAAGUCGAACGAGUGGCGGACGGGUGAGUAAUGUAUGGGAAACUGCCUGAUGGAGGGGGAUAACUACUGGAAACGGUAGCUAAUACCGCAUACCAUCGGAUGUGCCCAGAUGGGAUUAGCUAGUAGGUGGGGUAAAGGCUCACCUAGGAGACGAUCCCUAGCUGGUCUGAGCGGAUGACCAGCCACACUAGAACUGAGACACGGUCCAGACUCCUACGUGAGGCAGCAGUGGGGAAUAUUGCACAAUGGGCGCAAGCCCGAUGCAGCCAUGCCGCGUGUAUGAUGAAGGCCUUCGGGUUGUAAAGUACUGUCAGCGGGAAGGCGUUACCCGCAGAAGAAGCACCGGCUAACUCCGUGCCAGCAGCCGCGGUAAUAC
rnacentral:rRNA from 1 species